rnacentral:pre_miRNA from 1 species
CCCAGCCUGACAAAGACCUACUGAAUACAGUGCUGCGGUCGGUUUAGGCGCAUUAUCUCUGUUGAUAUUGCACUUGUCCCGGUCUUAGUAAAGUAUGACU